AGAGUUUGAUCAUGGCUCAGAUUGAACGCUGGCGGCAGGCCUAACACAUGCAAGUCGAACGGUAACAGGAAGAAGCUUGCUUCUUUGCUGACGAGUGGCGGACGGGUGAGUAAUGUCUGGGAAACUGCCUGAUGGAGGGGGAUAACUACUGGAAACGGUAGCUAAUACCGCAUAACGUCGCAAGACCAAAGAGGGGGACCUUCGGGCCUCUUGCCAUCGGAUGUGCCCAGAUGGGAUUAGCUAGUAGGUGGGGUAACGGCUCACCUAGGCGACGAUCCCUAGCUGGUCUGAGAGGAUGACCAGCCACACUGGAACUGAGACACGGUCCAGACUCCUACGGGAGGCAGCAGUGGGGAAUAUUGCACAAUGGGCGCAAGCCUGAUGCAGCCAUGCCGCGUGUAUGAAGAAGGCCUUCGGGUUGUAAAGUACUUUCAGCGGGGAGGAAGGGAGUAAAGUUAAUACCUUUGCUCAUUGACGUUACCCGCAGAAGAAGCACCGGCUAACUCCGUGCCAGCAGCCGCGGUAAUACGGAGGGUGCAAGCGUUAAUCGGAAUUACUGGGCGUAAAGCGCACGCAGGCGGUUUGUUAAGUCAGAUGUGAAAUCCCCGGGCUCAACCUGGGAACUGCAUCUGAUACUGGCAAGCUUGAGUCUCGUAGAGGGGGGUAGAAUUCCAGGUGUAGCGGUGAAAUGCGUAGAGAUCUGGAGGAAUACCGGUGGCGAAGGCGGCCCCCUGGACGAAGACUGACGCUCAGGUGCGAAAGCGUGGGGAGCAAACAGGAUUAGAUACCCUGGUAGUCCACGCCGUAAACGAUGUCGACUUGGAGGUUGUGCCCUUGAGGCGUGGCUUCCGGAGCUAACGCGUUAAGUCGACCGCCUGGGGAGUACGGCCGCAAGGUUAAAACUCAAAUGAAUUGACGGGGGCCCGCACAAGCGGUGGAGCAUGUGGUUUAAUUCGAUGCAACGCGAAGAACCUUACCUGGUCUUGACAUCCACGGAAGUUUUCAGAGAUGAGAAUGUGCCUUCGGGAACCGUGAGACAGGUGCUGCAUGGCUGUCGUCAGCUCGUGUUGUGAAAUGUUGGGUUAAGUCCCGCAACGAGCGCAACCCUUAUCCUUUGUUGCCAGCGGUCCGGCCGGGAACUCAAAGGAGACUGCCAGUGAUAAACUGGAGGAAGGUGGGGAUGACGUCAAGUCAUCAUGGCCCUCACGACCAGGGCUACACACGUGCUACAAUGGCGCAUACAAAGAGAAGCGACCUCGCGAGAGCAAGCGGACCUCAUAAAGUGCGUCGUAGUCCGGAUUGGAGUCUGCAACUCGACUCCAUGAAGUCGGAAUCGCUAGUAAUCGUGGAUCAGAAUGCCACGGUGAAUACGUUCCCGGGCCUUGUACACACCGCCCGUCACACCAUGGGAGUGGGUUGCAAAAGAAGUAGGUAGCUUAACCUUCGGGAGGGCGCUUACCACUUUGUGAUUCAUGACUGGGGUGAAGUCGAAACAAGGUA
rnacentral:rRNA from 1 species